GAAACCGGGUGAUCUAGCCAUGGGCAGGUUGAAGGUUGAGUAACAUCAACUGGAGGACCGAACCGACUAAUGUUGAAAAAUUAGCGGAUGACUUGUGGCUAGGGGUGAAAGGCCAAUCAAACUCGGAGAUAGCUGGUUCUCCCCGAAAGCUAUUUAGGUAGCGCCUCGGACGAAUACUACUGGGGGUAGAGCACUGUUAAGGCUAGGGGGUCAUCCCGACUUACCAACCCUUUGCAAACUCCGAAUACCAGUAAGUACUAUCCGGGAGACACACGGCGGGUGCUAACGUCCGUCGUGGAGAGGGAAACAACCCAGACCGCCAGCUAAGGUCCCAAAGUAUUGCUAAGUGGGAAACGAUGUGGGAAGGCUCAGACAGCUAGGAUGUUGGCUUAGAAGCAGCCAUCAUUUAAAGAAAGCGUAAUAGCUCACUAGUCGAGUCGGCCUGCGCGGAAGAUGUAACGGGGCUAAGCAAUACACCGAAGCUGCGGCAAUAUCUUUUAGAUAUUGGGUAGGGGAGCGUUCU
rnacentral:rRNA from 1 species